rnacentral:rRNA from 1 species
AUCGAUGAAGAACGCAGCGAAAUGCGAUAAGUAAUGUGAAUUGCAGAAUUCAGUGAAUCAUCGAAUCUUUGAACGCACAUUGCGCCCUUUGGCAUUCCGAGGGGCAUGCCCGUUCGAGCGUCAUUACACCACUCAAGCCUGGCUUGGUAUUGGGCGUCGGGUCAACCCGCGCCUCCAUUGAAAAUUCGGCUGUGGUCUGAAACUCAUCCCUGCGUCGUGAGAAUUUGAUUUCCUCUCGCUCGGGUGGGCGGCCGGCACGCCGUUAAACCAUUUUAUCACAGGUUGACCUCGGAUCGGGUAGGGAUACCCGCUGAACUUAAGCAUAUCAAUAAGCGGAGGAAAAGAAACCAACAGGGAUUGCCCUAGUAACGGCGAGUGAAGCGGCAACAGCUCAAAUUUGAAAUCUGGCGCAAGCCCGAGUUGUAAUUUGUAGAGGAUGCUUCUGGGUAGCGGCCGGUCUAAGUUCCUUGGAACAGGACGUCAUAGAGGGUGAGAAUCCCGUAUGUGACUGGUUGGCGCCCUCCACGUAGCUCCUUCGACGAGUCGAGUUGUUUGGGAAUGCAGCUCUAAAUGGGUGGUAAAUUUCAUCUAAAGCUAAAUACCGGCCAGAGACCGAUAGCGCACAAGUAGAGUGAUCGAAAGAUGAAAAGCACUUUGGAAAGAGAGUUAAAAAGCACGUGAAAUUGUUGAAAGGGAAGCGCUUGCUACCAGACUUGUCGGCGGUGUUCCGCCGGUCUUCUGACCGGUCUACUCGCCGCCGGCAGGCCAGCGUCGUCUGGGGCCGCCGGAUAAAGGCUCGGGGAAUGUGGCUCCUCCGGGAGUGUUAUAGCCCCGUGCACAAUACGGUGAGCCUCGGGCGAGGUCCGCGCUUCGGCAAGGACGCUGGCGUAAUGGUCGUAAGCGGCCCGUCUUGAAACACGG